UCACCGGGUCUACACUUGCCAC
rnacentral:miRNA from 1 species